ensembl:lncRNA
AGCGAUUGGAGCAUACAGCUGACUGCAUGGAUUAUAUAAGAAGGAAAACAUCAAGAAGACCUAAACCUGAUGUGAACAGAAGUCCUUUCACUCAAAACAAAGCAUGAUACUGGAACCUCUAGUUACUGGGCAGUAACCCCUCAGGCUGAAAAUGAAGAUUUCUUCCUGGAAAUGUGACAGAAACCUAAUUCAUUCUCAGUUUGAGAUUUGUCUCCCAUGUGGGUUAACUCCAUUAAGCAACACUUGCUCAUCCCCUCCACCCCCUACUCCACCACUGGGGCAGGGGAAGGGGAAAGGAAAAGUUAAAGCAAAAUAAAAUCAUGGAUUAAGAUAGAAAUCGUUUAAUAACUGAAGGAGAAAUGGAAGAAGAGAGAAAGAAUACAAUGGAAAGCAAGUAUAGCAAAGGCAAUUGCUCACAACCUCUGAAGAUCAAACUGAUGCCCAGCCAAAUUCUGAGAAAUCUGAUUCACCUCAAACCUCUCCACUCUGUUUUACCACUGAGUAUGGCAUUCUAUGGCAUGGAAUAUGCCCCUGGAUAGAUCAUCAGCCUGGCUGUGAGCCUCUUAGCCUCUUGCACACCCCCAGAGAGUGUUCAUUGCAAGGGUAGAGGGAGAAACAAAGAAGGCCCUGAUGCUGUGUGAGACCUGCUCAGCAAUAAAUAAAAAAGUGGUGUGUUAAAUACUGUCUUUGCCAUGAACCUAAAGCACAUCACCGUGGAGAUGCUAUGAAGCUUUGCCUAUCCAGAUACAGUACAUCUCCCAUCGUGCAACUUCUCAAGGCAUUUUGUACCUCUGUGCCCAGCAGCAUCAAAGGUUUAUUCAAGAACAACGUUUGCAAAUUAACUUUUUGGAAACAGACCAUAAAGCAUCAUCCCAAAGCUCAGUUCUGUUGCUGACAGAAAAGAAUACUUGUCUACACAGUCCAUCAAUUCUUUCCAAGGUUAAUAGACUCUGAUGAAAAAAAAUAUAAAGAUUUUACUUAAAAUAUUUAAAACACAUCUUUUGAUCAAUGCCAGCUGUUUUGGUGCAACUAUACUCUCUGUUUUGAUCAUCUAUAUAGGUUGAUCUGAAAGUAAUGCCUCCUGUUUUCCAUGGAAACCACAAUAGAUACAAAGAGCAGAACAACACUAUUUGAUUGAGCAAAUUCACAAAUACAAGACAGUAUUUUUCAACACAGUUACCAGCAUUAGCUGAUUAAUGCAGAUGAGCUGAUUGAGAUGCUUUUCCCUUCAGGAUGUGACAGUUGUACAAGCCCUUCCAGAACAUGGCUUGUCUUUCACAUCCACAUCACUGUGCUCACAUCCACUGGUCUCCACAAACAUUCAGAAAACAUCAAUUAAUGUCAUGGGUGUCAUUUGUUCUGCAUGGAGGAAUUCAGUGGCACACUUUUGUUUCAUACACACAUCCACGUCAGACAGCAUUUUGUCAGACUGCCCCUCUGCUGUCAUGUGUCACACAGCAACAAAAUCUAAUGGAAUAUUGAUGGGAAGGUUCAGCCUCUACUGUUGUACCAUCAACAUCCACCUCUGAUGUCAUGGGCUAACAUAAUAAAAUAGUAGGCACUGCAUUCAGAGCAGCCCUUGUAUCUGCUGCAGUUCUGUGCAUAAAGGAGAUUAUCUUCCCACCAAGCUCAUUAAAUAAAAAAACAUAAAUUUCAUUAGUGCUAAAUAUUAAGAAAGAAUGUUUACCAACUAGAAAACAGACUCUAAUUUCAAAGCCACAAAUGUUGGCAUACUUCUACUCUUUCUUCUUCUAUAUUGAUCUACAUUCAUUAUCAUUUAAUUCCUUCAGCCGUGUUGAUGUUGUAAUUGUUCUGAGUAGAAUUUUGUGGAUAAUUGUUUCACUCUGUGCCACAAUUCCUUCUCAUGUCCACGAAAUACCAGUCCUGAAAGUCCAUGCAAAAACUAAAAAUAAUGGGACCCUAUUUGUUCAACUGGUAUCUUUUAGCAGCACUAACACCCAGUCCUGCAAGAACAGUAUCUCAAAUUUGAGGACAUUCUGCUAGCUGCUCCUGAGGUCCAGGACUACAAACUCUAAAUUCUCCAGAGCGCAGUCUAUAGCAGUUGUUAGGAAGGCUGCAUGGAGAAGGGGACAUGAAACAUGACAAGGCUCAAGAUAUACCAAAUCAUCAGGCAUUCAUUAGAGUUUUCCUGAGGGAAAAGUAUAUAUCCCCCUUUCAGCAGAAAUCAAGAAUAUUCCUUGAUAUUUGAAGACAAUUCAUUCAAACAAAAAACAUAAGACAAAACAUUAAAUUUUCCAUUAAUCAUCAUGUUUUUUCAGAAGCGUUCUUCAUACAGGUUCUCCAGUAAUUUCUUCUCAAGUAAUGCAAAUCUUGGUAAGCCUGUACUGUUUGACAGGGCGGGGUACGGGGGAGGUGGCAAUGUUGUUUUGUUUUACUUUUUUUAAUCCCCGUUGCUGAUCUCUUGAUUUCCUGAUAUAUGCUGUUGGAGUAGUAAAACACAUAGCAGUGGUACUAAGCCAGUGGUCCUCACUCAGUGCAACAAAGAAGCUGACAUUGAGGUAGUAAAAUCAAUUUCUUAACACAUAACAGAGAAUCGCAGAAUUGUAGAGGCUGGAAGAGACCUCUAUAGACCACUGAGUCUAGCCCCCCUGCAAAGCAGGCACCCUACAGCAGUCUGCACAGGUAGGCAUCCAGGUGAGUCUUGAAUAUCCCCAGAGAAGAAUCCACAAUCUACCUGGGCAGCCUGUUCCAGUGCUCUGUCACCCUUACUGUGAAGAAGUUCCUUUGCAUAUUGGUGUGGAACUUCCCAUGCUCAAGUUUAUGGCCUUGUCCGGUCCCCACAGACGGCUGAAAAGAGGUUGGCCAUGUCCCUUUGACUCCCACACUAAAGAUAUGUGUAAACAUUAAUGACAUCACCUCUCAGUCUUCUUUUCUCAAGGCUGAACAGAUCCACGUCACCCAGCCUUUCCUCACAGGCGAGGUGCUCCAGGCCCUUUAUCACCUUUGUGGCUCUCCACUGGACUCUCUCCAGGAGAUCCCUGUCUUUUUUGUACCAGGAAGCUCAUAACUGGACACAGUACUCCAGGUGAGGCCUCACCAGGGCAGAGUAGACAGGGAGGAUCACCUCCUUUAACCUCCUGGCCAAGCUCCUUUUAAUGCCCCCGAGGAUCCCACUGAUUUUCUUGGCUGCCAGGGCACAAUGCUGGCUCAUGGUCAACCUAAACCUCAGUGAUCUGUUAGCCUGCACGGAUCUUGCUUCUUAGUCAUUAGAAAGAUGGUGGAAAUAUAGCACUGCUUCAUCCCAAACUCCUUCUGGAUGUUUAUGCUGAAUAAGGAUGAGAAUCUGGCAUGUUGUGAAUUCAACCAUGCAAUCUUUUGCUUAAUCACAUGAAGAAGUUUAGCUAGAGUUCUGCUACUAUUUUAGAAAAGAAUCCUAUAUUCACAGCUGUGACUUGCAAACCAUAACAUCUGUAACCUACAGACUUUUAACAGAAGUACAGCAAUAAUUAUUUUUUAGAUAGCAGUGGGAUCUUUAAAAUUCAUAGAAUACGUUAUUGGUGCCAUGGCCUAACAAGUUAGAGAUUACAGGACAUAGGUUAUAGCCAACUGCUCCUCAAAUGCUGUAUGUACUGACGAUGUAAAGUAGUUUAUAGAGAAGUUCAUUGAAAUUAUAAGUAGAAGCACAGUAGUGUUAAAGCAGCCUAAAUGGACUGUUUGGAGCAGAGCCAGCAUCUUUCAUUAAUACCUUUUAGAGCUAGCUCCACUGUGGAUUUUCUGGUUUACCAUUAUGAUACAGAACACAAAACAACUUACAGAUCUAUUCCUUUGUUCAAUUAUAUGUGGAAUCUAUCUUUACUAAAGGUUGUCCUGUGCUCUAAACUAAUGCUUCAGAGUGUUUUAACUAGCUGCUUAAAAAUUUUCUUGGUAUGUCCAUAAAUCCAGACACACAUAGGCAUCUGCUU